rnacentral:tRNA from 1 species
GGAGAGAUGGCUGAGUGGUCGAAAGCGGCCGCCUCGAAAGCGGUUAUCCCGGGUAACUGGGAUCGUAGGUUCGAAUCCUACUCUCUCCGCCA